CCCCUUUUAAAAAGCACUCCUUGGGCCUUUUGCUGAUGACCCACUGAGCUGUCAGAAAAGGGCAAAGUAAAAACACGGCUUUUGGGUGAAGUGGCAGCAUGCGGUGUUGUUUUGCUUCAAUUGGUGGUGCGACAAAG